GAUGAACGCUGGCGGCGUGCCUAAUACAUGCAAGUCGAGCGAACAGGGGAGGUGUUUGCUCCUCUGGCGUCAGCGGCGGACGGGGGAGUCACACGUGGUUAACCUACCUAUAAGACUGGUAUACUUUCAGGAAACCGGUGCUAAGACCGGAGGAUAUCUUGCGGCGCAUGGUUCACUCGUGGAAGACGGUUUUGCUGUCACUUAUAGAUGGAUCCGCGCCGCAUUAGCUAGUUGGUAAGGUAACGGCUUACCAAGGCGGCGAUGCGUAGCCGACCUGAGAGGGUGAUCGGCCACACUGGAACUGAGACACGGUCCAGACUCCUGCGGGAGGCAGCAGUAGGGAAUCUUCCGCAAUGGGCGAAAGCCUGACGGAGCAACGCCGCGGGAGUGAUGAAGGUCUUCGGAUCGUAAAACUCUGUUAUUAGGGGAGAACAAAUGUGUAAGUAACUAGGCACGUCUUGACGGUACCUAAUCAGAAAGCCACGGCUAACUACGUG
rnacentral:rRNA from 1 species